UCAGUAGCUCAGUGGUAGAGCGGUCGGCUGUUAACCGAUUAGUCGUAGGUUCGAGUUUCGGGGUUGUCAAAG